UGAAUCCCUGCACUUAAUCCCGAGGGUGGGGACGCUGGGGGCGGCAGUGAGGCAGGCUGGGCUUUGCAGAGGCAAAUCCAUUUAUGGAGAAGGGAUUAGGAUCAGAGAGGGGUUGAGGAGGGCAGGACGAGAUGUGGGAGGGAUCGAGGCGUGCUGGUCUACGCACUGGGUUGGAGGGAGACUCCUCAGGACGAGGUGUGCAGAGGAGUGUCUGAGUGCCUGCCAGGUUUCUGAUCCCUUGCUGAAGAGGGCCCCAGGAGGACAGGGGAACGCCCUUUUGCUUGUGACUGGCAGGGCUGCGACAAGAAGUUCGCCCGCUCCGACGAGCUGGCCCGCCACCACCGGACGCACACGGGCGAGAAGCGCUUCUCCUGCCCUCUGUGCUCCAAGCGCUUCACCCGCAGUGACCACCUGGCCAAGCACGCCCGCCGCCACCCCGGCUUCCACCCGGACCUGCUCCGGCGCCCUGGUGCCCGCAGUACCUCCCCCAGCGACUCGCUGCCCUGCAGCCUGGCCGGGAGCCCUGCGCCCAGCCCCGCGCCCAGCCCAGCCCCCGCAGGCCUGUAGGGCCCUCGUGCAGCCCACCCUGACCGCCAGGAUGCUUCUGCCAUCCAGGGGUGUAGUGAGGACCCACGGGGAGCCUGGGCCCCUUCCAGCCGUGGGCAAACCCUGAAGACACCCCUGCCCCCCUCCAGAGAGUGAGGAGGGGGCCUGAGACUGGACCUGGGUCUGCCUGACCUCAGAGGUGGCUCUCAGGAUGGGUGACGGGGGCUUGUGUCUGUAAAUAGCCAUGAUACUAACUUUCUUCCCAUCUGUGCAACGGGGCCCCCCCAGGGCAGCUAGGAGGUCCUCCCCUCUCCUCUCCACCACCCCCUGCUGCCCCCCUCCCGGGGUGGGGUUUGGGGGGGUGGAGUGGACUUCUGGGAGCCGGCCCGGGGAAAGCACCCCCUGCCCCAUCCCUGCAGAUUGGGAUGAAGUGUUCAGACAGCCAUAGAGGAGUCGGGGGUUGACACGGCCCCUGCCUCUCCCCACCCCACCCCCACCCCACCGAAAGCCAUGGGAGUAGUUCAGGGAAAUGGGGGUGCAGCCCAGCCACCCCCCAUUCGGGUACUCAAUCUCAGGUGUCCACAAGUUCUGCCCACGGUAGGGGCUGCCUGGCCCCCCAGACCUCGGGGGUAGAGCCAGGAGUGGGGCAGCGUUAGGAUGCCCGGAGGGGCUCCAGGUGUUGCUUCUGAGACCUGGGAUGGGGAGGGAGGGGACCUCUGGGUUCUUCCAAAGAACAUUUGACUCAGUGGGGUCGGGAGGGAAUCCUGGCUUAUUUAUUUUCCUCUGUCCUCGGGUGUGGGGGCCCUAGCUCGCCCUCUCUGGGUGGGUGGGUGAGAGAGGCUGCAGGGGAGGCUGGCACCGGGCUUGGGCCUCCAGUCCCUGCCUUGCUGACUUUGGCCGUUGCGGUAUCACGUGACAAUCAACUCUCCCUUAACGACGACUGCGGCUGUUGGGCUGCGCUGCCCUCCCUGGCCUGCAGGUGGGGCCGUGGAGCCCAUGCCCGCCGGGGUUGCAGGCUCUUCCGGGCCUGGGCUGCAGCCUGGCCCGGCCCUGCUUCCCUGGCCUCCCCUCCUUCUCCUGGGUGCUUGGAAGAGGUGGGUCCUGGCCCGUGGUUGAGGUCUUGCCUCGUGGACUGGAAGCAGAGGGCUGGCUGUGCAGCCUCCUGGGGUAGCUCGUUUUUUUUGCACCGGGUAGAAUAUUUUUUCAGGCACGGAUUCCUUUUUUUCUGGGCCCCCAUGGGUGGUCCGGCAUCCUCAGGGGGUGUGAGUGUGUGUGGGGGGUCUCUGAGCUGAACUUGGGUGGGGUGGGGACUUGUUCCUCGGGGGCCACCUUUGUGUCCUUGUCAGCGGUCGUCCUGCUGUGGCCUGGGUUGCAUUUCCUCUUGGGGGGGGUAUUGAGGACCCCCAGCCUGGAAUGAGAAGGGUCCCCGGUUCCAUGUCAGACCCAGAAAGGUGGAUCCCCCCACUGUUGGCUGCAGGAGGUUUUUGGUACCCCCUUUUGUUCCAGAACCGUCCUGCCUCUCGCUUGGGGACAGGGGGGCUUUGGAUGGCACUGGUGUGCACCUGGACCCAGCCCCGGCCUGGCAGGAUCCAGGGAUGGGUGCCUGGGAUCCUGGGGGGAGGGAGGCAGGGGACGCCCUUCUGGAGCUGGGCUCGGAGGGUCCUGCCCCAUCCAGCCCUCGGCUCUCUGUGUUCUCUGUCCCUAGCCUCAAACCCUCUUCUGGCAGCGCUAGUGAGAUGCCUUAGUCUGUGGGGGUGGGUGGGGGACUGGGGCCCCGUUUUCCUUUGUGAGUCUUGGUUGGCCCCAGCCCUGGCAGGGGCCUGUCUGGAGCAGGGGUAGGUAGGGCUGUGGGUUCCAGAACUCUAUAACUGGGCCCCUCUCCAGUGUCCAGGGGCUUGGAGAGACCUGCGCCCACCCCUCCACUCUCCCAGGAGUCGCUGAUCACUGGGACCUGGUUCCAGCCGUUUGCAGGGGAGGCGGCUCCGAGAGGCGUGUGCUUUCCGUGGGUGGCGCCCCUCCCCCGCCCUGCCUGGCCUCAUCCUUGUAUUUAAUUAAUUAAACAAGCCCCUUUUUAAACCCUA
rnacentral:lncRNA from 1 species